rnacentral:rRNA from 1 species
UACGUAGGGGGCUAGCGUUGUCCGGAAUUACUGGGCGUAAAGGGCGCGUAGGCGGCCCGCUAAGUCGAACGUGAAAUCCCCGAGCUCAACUCGGGAACUGCGUCCGAUACUGGCGGGCUUGAAUCCGGGAGAGGGAUGCGGAAUUCCAGGUGUAGCGGUGAAAUGCGUAGAUAUCUGGAGGAACACCGGUGGCGAAGGCGGCAUCCUGGACCGGCAUUGACGCUGAGGCGCGAAAGCGUGGGGAGCGAACAGG